rnacentral:rRNA from 1 species
UACAGAGGGUGCGAGCGUUGUUCGGAAUUACUGGGCGUAAAGCGCGCGCAGGCGGCCCUUUAAGUCUACCCGUGAAAUGCCGGAGCUCAGCUCCGUGCACGCCGGGGGAUACUGGAGGGCUGGAGACAGGUAGAGGCAGGCGGAAUUCCGGGUGUAGCGGUGGAAUGCGUAGAGAUCCGGAAGAACACCAGAGGCGAAGGCGGCCUGCUGGGCCUUGUCUGACGCUGAGGCGCGAAAGCGUGGGGAGCAAACAGG